rnacentral:rRNA from 1 species
UACGAAGGGGGCUAGCGUUGCUCGGAAUCACUGGGCGUAAAGCGCACGUAGGCGGCUCUUUAAGUCAGGGGUGAAAUCUUGGGGCUCAACUCCAGAACUGCCUUUGAUACUGGGGAUCUCGAGUCCGGUAGAGGUGAGUGGAACUCCGAGUGUAGAGGUGAAAUUCGUAGAUAUUCGGAAGAACACCAGUGGCGAAGGCGGCUCACUGGCCCGGUACUGACGCUGAGGUGCGAAAGCGUGGGGAGCAAACAGG